rnacentral:sRNA from 1 species
GUCUCAACUUACUAACUUUGAGAUACUUAGGCCUGUAGUCCUAUACGCAGUAAACCCAGUUGUGUUCGGCAAUGGUGCAACCGUACUGCCCCCACUAUUCCAAACUGAAAGCUACUCCUAUUUUGCAGUUGCUUUACAGAGUCAUGGUAUACAUUUUUUUAAAUUUUUUUAAUGCAUGAACCUUACAAAUUUAGGCCCUAUUGAUACAUUCCAAUCAUUUAACCUCUCUUGGUACAAUGCUUCAUCAUCUACUAAUGGUAGUUUUAGUCGGAAUAACUCCCCUUCUGAGGUAACACUUCUUACAAGUAUUAAUACUAAACCAUUUAUAUCUAAUAAUUAUGAUAGUUCGUAAAAUUUACUAUUUCUACCCGUUGGUAUGCAAAAAAUUCAAGAGCGUGAAAAAAUUGAAAAAAACUUGUAUGAAUGAAACAUACAUACGAUAUAUCUUUUUUUAGUUGAAACUUUGUUGUAAACCGAAACCAUUAGCUACUUCAGGGCAAUAGCACAAUUCGAAUAGGUGGCGCUACCCUCGAUCCUGCUGUUUACAACAUGAAUUUGGAGUACUCAUACUCGGACAAUACGCCAAUCAAACUGCAGAUUACAGUUCCAUGUAAGAUAAUUUUGUGGUACUCGGCAUUUGCCUCUAGCUUGUUGCCCAUGUUUGGAUCAAAAAAUAUUAACCCGGAUAAGAAGUUGGCUAAACUUGGGCGAGAGUAGGGCAAAACUUUAGGCUGCAUCAAAGUUAAACUCAAGUUUAACCAAAUUCUUGCCAAUUUUUGGCCAAAACUUCUAAUAUUUCGUUUCAAACUUGGCAAGAGUUGGGUGAAACUUAGGUUUAAUUGAACUCCAAAUUUUGCCAAAAUCUUGCCCAAGUCUCGCCCAAAUUUUGCCAAUUUCUGCUUCAAAUUAAUAUUUUUUGGGCAAGAAGCUGAAGCCAAAUGCCUAGUAGUUUAUCAGAAAAACAACUUCUUUCAGGGAUACUGACUAUUGGACACCAUAUGCAGACUAAAUGCCAAUUUUUGCAAUUCAUUUGAAUAAAUAUAUGAACAUUCCGAACCUCUUGAUCUGUUAACCUUUUUAAAAACACAUUUUUACACAAAUUUUUAUUUUCGUACUUUUUGAACGGUUGUCUUACUUUUUUCAUACAAUCUCAAAAAUCAAGCACCAUAGACCAAUAGUUUUUUCAAAACAGCGCUCCAGAUGAAACUUACUAUUUUGAGAAUAGAUUGUAUGGCACAUGUGUAAAUACUGAACUCAAACACACCCACGGAAAUUGGUCUAACACCCUAUAUUAGUGUAGAAACUAAGAAGGUAUUAAGCAUUUUUCUUAAUCCAAAAUUUCUUAUCAAACCGAUAAACUUAAAUUUUUCAUUGUCUUUCCACACUCUCCUCGUGUCUAGCAUUAUUUGAACUAUUUAACACCCACUCGUAUAAAGGCAGUACAUUUCUCCAACUAGCUUCAGUACUCCUCUAUUAUUCAUUCCCCAUAUAAUUCUAAUUUCAGAUAAUUUCAUACAAUUUCAGAAAUACCAAGCACACAACCAAUCCUAAAAUUAAAAAUGAUUUUACAAAUAUUCUAGGAGAAUCGUGGGCUUAAGUUAAAUUUUUGUAUUUCAGCAACUCUUGAAUGUUUACCAAGUGACCCAAAAACAUUCUUGUUCGCCUAUUCAAAUGAUUUGGAGCCCAAUGUAGUUGAACUAACAUUUGAUGUCGUGAAAAUUUACAUAGAGGAUGAUAACUACAACACGUUUGCACGCGUUCGAUUUGAUACCCGCCAAGAGGAAGAAAUCAAUUACUAUUAUAGCCUCAAGUAAGUUUUUGUACAAGUAAAGUUUAAUUGGUAUCAAGUUAGAGAGUUAAAUACAUCGAUUCUUGCCCACCUUCCCGAUCCUUCCCUUGGAUUCAGAAGCAGUUCAAAUGGAAGUGACUCGUUGAAAAUUGUUGAGGUUUUGUGAUAUAGAUCAGAACCUAACAUUAAAAAUAUAAAAAAGUUCAGAAAUUUUACAAUAGCACUCAAUUUUCCACUUGCGGAUCCAUUGUUCUAAUACUAUCAAAGCGAAACCCAAACGAGGUUGAAAUUACCAAUCUAGUUGCCAAAAUUCGAUCCCAUCAUGGAAUAGUUCAUGUAAUUUCUUCAAAUACUCCAUCAGGCGGAUCCCAACCACUUACUCUCUAUGACCUCUCAUCUAAAACAAAUGGGCUAGCCGAUUUCCGGAAUGAUGAUGAAUUUGACGAGGUGACACUUUUUGUAAUGGAUUCUUUCCUAAUUUUUUUUCAGUCUGUCAUACCAUUUGCUGGGCUGAACUAUCCCAUAGUUAAUUACGCGGUGAAUCCAUUAGUAUCCGGCAAUGGCUCCACUGUACUGCCUCCACUAUACCAAGCUCAUCCCAGCCAAGCCAAGUUCACAGUUACUGUACAGAAUCAUGGUAUACAAUCUUAAUACGACAACGCAAAAUUCUGCAAAUGCGUAUUGCACAACAUAUUUGACGCACAAAAUAUCUCAUAGCAAAAACUACAGUAAUUUUUUUAAUGACUAAUGUAGUUUUUGUGUCGACUUACGGGGCUCGAAUUUUGAAGUGAACUUCUCUUCGAAUAGUGGUAACGGUAUUCCAUUUUUUUUGUUUCUUCGUAUUAUUUCCUCAUAUUUUUUGCCUAAUUUUAAUACUCUAUCCAUUAUUAAAUUAUUUCAAUUCUAUUCGAAAAUCAAGCCCGUAAAUCGAAAAAAGCGCUACAGUAGACAUUUUGAUUAAUUAUUGCUGUUUUCGCUACAAGAUAUUUUGCGCGUCAAAUAUGUUGUGCAAUACGCAUUCUCAGAGAUUUUGUGUUCCUGUAAUAUAUAAAAACUUUAUAAAUCUACAUUAAGGUCCCAUUGAUACAUUUCAAUCAUUUGAGCUUUUUUGGUACAACGCUUCAUCGUCUACCAAUGGUGGUCACGGUCUAGUUAAUCUGGUACAGUUUGUUUAAAUAUAUGCUGUUUUGUUGGCCUUCCGACAGUUGCGUAGAAUAAUUUUUUAAACAUCUUUUCAGCGAAAUGGCACGAUUGAAUAUGAUUGGUUGACUCUCGAUGCUGCUAUCUACAACAUGACACUUGAAUACUCAUACUCGACUAAUACCCCAUUCAAAAUGCAGAUUAGACAAUACGUGAUGAGGUAAGAUACAAUUUGAGAUAGUUCAUCUAAAAAAUAAUAUUUUUCAGGGAUAUUGACCAAUGGACACCAUAUGCUGACUGAAUAUCAACUUUCGCUAUUCGACAAACUUUAAUAAAUAAAUAUAUGAACAUGAAUCAUAAAUUUUUUCAAAUUUCUUAUCAGUUCCGAAAUACUCAAAACAUUUUCAUCGCCUGACUUCCUUUUUUCCGUCUCUUGUAUUACCACCACAAGCAUCACAUUGGUAUAAAGUCUUAGUACUUAUUUGAUAAGACAUUAUAUUUCUUCCCAUUGCGUCAGUACUCCUCUAUUAUUCAUUCCCCUUACAGUCCCAUUUUCAGACAGAAUCAGUUGCACUCAACCAGUUCUAAAAUUAAAUAUGAAACUAAAAUUUAAAUUUAAAAUAAUUUCAGAGAUAUUUCAGGAAAACUUUAGGUUUAUAUUUUUUAAGUUAUAUAUUUCAGAAACCCUUGAGUGCCUACCAGCUGACCCGAAGACAAUUUUAUUCGCUUAUUCAAAUGAUUUGGAGGCCAGUGUUGUUUCACAAUCUGCCAGAGCUCUGUUUGUAGGCUUGGGCUUUAGUGUAAAAAAAUUUGCAAACGUUCGAUUUGACACUAGCCAAUCUGCAGAAAUAUACUACAGUGAUAACUUCAAGUAAGUGUUUAUACAUGUGCAAGAAUAUAUUUAUCCGACAUUUUUAGACAGUUCAACACAUCAGUGAAUGCCAACCUUCCCGAUCCAUCUCUUGGAUUUAAAAGCAGUUCAAUUGGUAGUGACUCGUUGAAAAUUGUUGAGGUAAACAUCCGAGGCUCUAGAGAGAAGGUUCCGGCGAAGGCGAUGUUUCAGCGCUUCUGUCGAUGCUUCUGCUUUUACAUAUCAAAAUAAUCUCAUUUUUAGAAUUUUUACGACAUCUCACCAUUCUCUCUUUGCGGCUCUAUUGUUGUAAUUCUCUCAAAGCGAAAUCCAAAUGAAAAUGACAUUACCAAUCUAGUGACUAAAGUUCGAUCGCAUCAUGGAAUGGUUCAUGUAAUUUCAUCAAAUACUCCAUCAGGUGGAUCUCAACCACUUACCCUCUAUGACCUCUCAUCUAAAACAAAUGGAUUAACCGAUUUUCGAAAUGAUGAUCAAUUCUACAAUGUAAGAUUUCAGAGGUCGCUCCCCACUCUUAAUUAAUUUCAGUCUCAAAUUCGUUCUGUUGGGCUAUUUUGGCCUGUAGUCCUUUACGCGGUAAAUACAGUUGUGUCCGGCAAUGGCUCCACUGUACUGCCUCCGCUAUUACAACCUUGCCAGUUACCUAAUGGAGCCAACUUUGCAGUUACUGUACAAAAUCAUGGUAUACGUUUCUUUAAAUUUUUUUUAAUGCAUGAACCUUACAAAUUAAGGUCCGAUUGAUACAUUCCAAUCAUUUCAUCUCUCUUGGUACAAUGCUUCUUCAACUUCUAAUGGUGGUUUUCAUGGAUAUAACUCUUAUUUUGAGGUAACAUUUCUUACAAGCACUGAUACUAUACCGCUUUUUUCGAUAAUUAUGAUUAAGGAACACUGCUCGCACUAAUUUUAGAUAAUUAAUUUUUAUUUCGAGGUUACUACUUUUGAGGGUAAUAACCUUACGAUUAAAGUCGGACUCACUAAUAGAGAAUAUAUGUACUAUAGCUAUUUCAGAAAAAUAGCACAAUUCGAACAGGUGGUUAUACUCUUGAUGCUGCUAUCUACAACAUGACCCUUGACUACUCAUAUUCGGACAAUACGCUUAUCAAGAUGCAGAUCAGACAAUACAAUUGGAUGUAAGAUAAUGUUAGUGCUAGUUUAUCUGGAAACAUAAUUAUUUCAGCCAAAUUAACUACUGGCCACCAUAUGCUGACUAAAUGCCAAGUUUUGCAAUUAAUUUGAAUAAAUAUUUGAACAUUCCAAUAGCUUACACUUCGGUUUCAGGGCCAACGGCCUAUUGCGCCUCAAGCCUCUUAUCUGUAUUUUGACGUAAAAUCAUAUUCUUGGAGUUUGUACCACCAAGUGCAUAGAUAUAUGUUUCACAGUGCCCGACACUUUUUUGGCUUCUACGCCGCACUCAUAAAUCAAGUAACGCAAAAUUGAAUUUUUUUUUGAGUAAACGGUUUUUGAAAGUAAACCUUUCUAAGUAAGUUCCUAAUAGUAAGUAAGAUAGUAAACCAUCCGUUAAAAUUCAACAUUUUUGUCAGAAAAAUCGACGAGACUCCUUUAAAAUUUAACUGGCAAAAUGCUAGGCCGCUCACAUUUUAAUACUUUUUUUGUGUGUUUUUUCAUAAAUAUUCUAUACAAUCCUUUCUUCCCAUUUUCAUUAGGGUUUUUUGUUAGUCCACUGCGUACAAUAAAUUUUUUUAAUAAGUUAAUUAUUUCAGGCAAUUGAAUAUGAUUGGUUGACUCUCGAUGCUGCUAUUUACAACAUGACCCUUGAAUACUCAUACUCGACUAAUACCCCAUUCAAAAUGCAGAUUAGACAAUACGUGAUGAUGUAAGAUACAAUUUGAGAUGGUUGAUCUGAAAAAUAACAUUUCCAGCGAUUCUGACCACUGGACACCAUAUGCGGACUAAAUCUCGCUUUUCUCUACAUAUUCAACCGAUUCAAAUAAAUAUAUGCUCAUGAAGCAAUUUUUUUUUCAAAAUUUCUUAUCAGUUCCGAAAUACUUAAAACAUUUUCAUCGCCUUACUUCCUUCUCUCCGUCUCUUGUAUUACCACCACAAGCAUCACAUUGGUAUAAAGUCUUAGUACUUAUUUGAUGAGACAUUACAUUUCUUCCCAUUGCAUCAGUACUCCUCUAUUAUUCAGUCCCUUUAAUAGUCCCAUUUUCAGACAGAAUCAGUUGCACACAACCAGUUCCAUAAUCACAUUUAAAACCAAAACAUAAAAAAAUUAAAAUUUUACAGAUAUUCAAGGAAAAAGUUAGGUUUAUAUAAGUAAUAUGUUUCAGAAACCCUUGAUUGUGUACCAGCUGAACCGAAGAUAAUUUUAUUCGCUUAUUCAAAUGAUUUGGAGGCCAGUGUUGUUUCACAAUCUGCCAGUGCUCUGUUUGUAGACUUGGGCUUCCACCGUGUAACAAAAUUUGGAAACGUUCGAUUUGACACUAGCCAAUCUGCAGAAAUAUACUACAGUGAUGACUUACAGUAAGUGUUUAUACAUAUGUUGGGAUGUUUUUGUUCGACAUUUUUAGACGGUUCAACACAUCAGUGCUUGCUAACCUUCCCGAUCCAUCUCUUGGUUUUGGCAGCAGUUCAAUUGGUAGUGACUCGUUGGAAAUUAUUGAGGUAUCAUCAUUACUUAUAUAUAAAAAACUAUACAUGGGGACGUUAAAAUUGUAGUUUGUAGUCUGUGACGUCAUACUUUUCAGAGGCAAGGUGUUUCAGGCUGUUGAAGGGAUUAUGGGUUAGGGUUAGUAGGGGGAUAUAGUCAGGGUGCCGUAGUAGUACUUUAGGGGUACUGGGGGUUUAAUUUUUUAGAAAAAAUCUGGAAAUUUCUAGACUUUCUAAAAAAAAUUUGAAAAUUUUUUUGGCGGGAAAUUUAAAUUUUCUGAGAAAAACAUUUUGGUGGGAAAUUAAAAUCGUCUGACAAUGAGAGAAAAAUUUGACGGAAAACUCAUCGGUUAGGGGUGAGUAGGGGAUUUGGUGGGGGUACUGUAGUAUUACUUUAGGGUUACUGUAGUUUAGGAAACAUUGAGUUUUUGUUUUUUUUUUUGACGUAUCUUGAAACUUCUAGAACUUUCUAAAAAAUUUAGAAAAGUUCCAGAGUUUUCUAGAAAAUCUGGAAACUUCUAAAAAGAUUCUAGAAAAAAUGAGUAAGAUACUAAAAAUUUCUUGAACGUCCGCAAAACUACAUGAAAAAUGCAACUGUACAAAAAGCUUAUCACUUUCAAAUUAUUAAAACAAUUUAGCGUACGCCACUCGGAGCACGCGCUUUGUGUUUCCAAACGAUUGGUAGAAAAAAAAUUGCAUUUUCAGAAAUUUUACGACAACUCUCCAUUCUCCGUUUGCGGAUCAAUUGUUGUGAUUCUCUCCAAGCGAAACCCAAACGAGGUUGACAUUACUAAUCUAGUAGCCAAAAUUCGAUCGCAUCAUGGAAUGGUUCAUGUAAUUUCAUCAAAUACUCCAUCCGGUGGAUCUCAGCCACUUACCCUCUAUGAUCUUUCAUCUAAAACAAAUGGACUAACCGAUUUUCGAAAUGAUGAUCAAUUCUACGAC